AGCUCCAGUCUGUCCCCUGCUCACUGUGCCCAGCCACCUUCUCCAAGCCCUCCACGCUUAUGCAGCCGCAGGCCCUUGAUGAUGGAAGCAGAGAUGAAGAAAUACUGAUGGGAAUGACUGGAGGGGCAGCUUCCAUUUCCCUGUUCGCUUGAAGCUCUGGAAGUCGAGCCCCACUGGCCAGCGGAGCACUUUUGUGAGACGCGCGCCCAACUGGAGAAUGUCGCGAAGACGGCCCAGGAACAGGCAAGACAUAAACUCAAUGCCCCUCCUUUUCCACCUGGAGCUCUACCUUUACAAAUCUGUAGCACUUGAAGCAAGUCAUCUUGCAGAUCGAUGCUUGAGACCAAAGAGACUUAGGACUGUUAAGAAGAUUAUGCACAUAAAUGUACCAACUAUGACAGCCAUGGUAAGAAGAAUAGGAAGACGGUACCGGGCGCCAGUUUAUCAACCUUUGCCACUUACAAAAUUCACAGCCAAUUUAAUUAAAAAUAUACCAGCACUGUAAGCUGCUAAAAUGACUACGACAAUAAUCAAUCAUUUUGUAAUAGUGUUGAAGAUCCAUUAGGGACGCUGCUCUGGACGCCAGCGUUUUUUAAGCCCAGAUAGUAGGGGCAUUUCGUCCUGUACAAUUAAUGUCACCGCAUGUAAAAUAUUGACUAUCUAUAAAGAAGAAAAUACCAAACAUCUUUAUAACCCACAUUUUUUAUGGUGGAAACUUGCUUAGAAAGGUGCUUUGAAUUUAUUUGUUAUA